AUUGAACGCUGGCGGCAGGCCUAACACAUGCAAGUCGAACGAGCGGCGGACGGGUGAGUAAUGUCUGGGAAACUGCCUGAUGGAGGGGGAUAACUACUGGAAACGGUAGCUAAUACCGCAUACCCUCGGAUGUGCCCAGAUGGGAUUAGCUAGUAGGUGGGGUAAAGGCUCACCUAGGCGACGAUCCCUAGCUGGUCUGAGAGGAUGACCAGCCACACUGGAACUGAGACACGGUCCAGACCCCUACGGGAGGCAGCCGUGGGGAAGAUUGCACAAUGGGCGCAAGCCUGAUGCAGCCAUGCCGCGUGGAUGAAGAAGGCCUUCGGGUUGUAAAGUACUUUCAGCGGGGAGGCGUUACCGGCAGAAGAAGCACCGGCUAACUCCGUGCCAGCAGCCGCGGUAAUAC
rnacentral:rRNA from 1 species